rnacentral:rRNA from 1 species
AUUGAACGCUGGCGGCAGGCCUAACACAUGCAAGUCGAGCGGAAGAACGGAGCUAGCUCCUGGAUUCAGCGGCGGACGGGUGAGUAAGGCCUAGGAAUCUGCCUGGUAGCGUGGGAUAACGUCCGGAAACGGGCGCUAAUACCGCAUACGUCCUGAGGGAGAAAGUGGGGGAUCUUCGGACCUCACGCUAUCAGAUGAGCCUAGGUCGGAUUAGCUAGUUGGUGGGGUAAAGGCCUACCAAGGCGACGAUCCGUAACUGGUCUGAGAGGAUGAUCAGUCACACUGGAACUGAGACACGGUCCAGACUCCUACGGGAGGCAGCAGUGGGGAAUAUUGGACAAUGGGCGAAAGCCUGAUCCAGCCAUGCCGCGUGUGUGAAGAAGGUCUUCGGGUUGUAAAGCACUUUAGGUUGGGAAGAAGGGCAGUAAGUUAAUACCUUGCUGUUUUGACGUUACCAACAGAAUAAGCACCGGCUAACUUCGUG